GUAACAUAUGCAAUUACACUAGGAAGAAUGAAAAUGUGAAAGGGGCAGCCACUGCAGGUUCGGGUCAUGAGAUGAUUGCUGGCUGUGAUUAGGAAGAAAUCCCCUCCUCUUAAAUGAAAUAUAAUAGCGUUCAUACCCAAGGAUUCAGGACUGGCCAUUGUUAAAGAUAGGAUAUUCACUGUGACUUUUCAUGCAGUUUCUGAUUUCCUUCCUCUUCUCCUUUCAAAAUACAGCAAAGAAAAAAGAAAACUUUCAGAAACUUUCUACCUUCUCAGAGAAAAGUAUAAGAACUGGCAAAACUAGUAACGAACAGAACCUUGGAACCUGAAUCGGUUGAGUAGUAGGGGCUACAAAUAACAAGAAAGCCGUGAGUUCUGCUCUUCUGGAAAUUGGAUCCCUUCUUGCAUCUCAUUAUGUCAAGUUGGGAAAGUUUAGGUAAUACAAUAAGGAACAAAUAAAAAUGUUAAAGCCAUCA
rnacentral:lncRNA from 1 species